UCGUCCNAAUCGCCACUCCCACCUUCNACAGCUCCCUCCCACNANGGGUUGGGCCACCGGCUUCGGGUGUUACCGACUUUCGUGACGUGACGGGCGGUGUGUACAAGGCCCGGGAACGUAUUCACCGCAGCAAUGCUGAUCUGCGAUUACUAGCGACUCCGACUUCAUGGGGUCGAGUUGCAGACCCCAAUCCGAACUGAGACCGGCUUUUUGAGAUUCGCUCCACCUCACGGUAUCGCAGCUCAUUGUACCGGCCAUUGUANCACGUGUGCAGCCCAAAACAUAAGGGGCAUNAUAACUUNACNUCNUCCCCACCUUCCUCCAAUUUAACCCCGGCGGUCUCCCNUAANUCCCCANCACCACAAGGGCCUGCUGGCAACACGGGACAAGGGUUGCNCUCNUUGCGGGACUUAACCCAACNUCUCACNACACAAAGCUNACAACAGCCAUGCNCCACCUGUACACCGACCACAAGGGGGCCCUGUCUCCAAACUUUUCCGGUUUAUUCAACCCUUGGUAANGUUCUUCCCUUUUGCUUCAAAUUAANCCACAUGCUCCNCCCUUGUNCGGGGCCCCCUCAAUUCCUUUAAAUUUAACCUUGCGGNCGUNCUCCCAGGCGGGGAACUUAAUCUUUACUGCNGCCCAAAAAAUUNAAUUUCCCNCCCUNUUCCCCCCUUUACGGUUUAAAUACAGGGUUNUUAUUUUUUCCCCCCC
rnacentral:rRNA from 1 species